ACGAACGCUGGCGGCGUGCUUAACACAUGCAAGUCGAGCGGUAAGGCCCUUCGGGGUACACGAGCGGCGAACGGGUGAGUAACACGUGGGUGACCUGCCCUCCACUCUGGGAUAAGCCUGGGAAACCGGGUCUAAUACCGGAUAGGACUCCUGGAUGCAUGUCCGGGGGUGGAAAGUUUUUUCGGUGGGGGAUGGGCCCGCGGUCUAUCAGCUUGUUGGUGGGGUGAUGGCCUACCAAGGCGACGACGGAUAGCCGGCCUGAGAGGGUGAUCGGCCACACUGGGACUGAGACACGGCCCAGACUCCUACGGGAGGCAGCAGUGGGGAAUCUUGCGCAAUGGGCGGAAGCCUGACGCAGCAACGCCGCGUGGGGGAUGACGGCCUUCGGGUUGUAAACCUCUUUCGCGAUCGACGAAGGUCCGCUUUCUGUGGGCUGACGGUAGGUCGAGAAGAAGCACCGGCCAACUACGU
rnacentral:rRNA from 1 species